GAUGAACGCUGGCGGCGUGCUUAACACAUGCAAGUCGAACGAAGCAUUUGCGACAGAUUUCUUCGGAUUGAAGUUGCUUAUGACUGAGUGGCGGACGGGUGAGUAACGCGUGGGUAACCUGCCUCAUACAGGGGGAUAGCAGCUGGAAACGGCUGGUAAUACCGCAUAAGCGCACAGUACCACAUGGCACAGUGUGAAAAAUUCCGGUGGUAUGAGAUGGACCCGAGUCUGAUUAGCUAGUUGGGGAGGUAACGGCCCACCAAGGCGACGAUAAGUAGCCGACCUGGGAGGGUGACCGCCCACAUUGGGACUGGGAAACGGCCCAGACUCCUACGGGAGGCAGCAGUGGGGAAUAUUGCACAAUGGAGGAAACUCUGAUGCCGCGACGCCGCGUGAGUGAAGAAGUAGUUCGCUAUGUAAAGCUCUAUCAGCAGGGAAGAUAGUGACGGUACCUGACUAAGAAGCUCCGGCUAAAUACGUGCCAGCCGCCGCAGUAA
rnacentral:rRNA from 1 species